AUGACUUUGAUCUGCGUCCUCAUCUGGACUCUCCUCUGCUGCUGCUUCACAGAGUCCAGAGGACAGAUCACAGUGACUCAGCCUGGAGCAGUGAGCUCUGCUGUGGGAGGAACUGUGAGCAUCAAGUGUAGGACCAGUCAGGAUGUUUAUUACAACAACUAUAUGUUCUGGUACCAACAGAAAGAUGGAGGAGUUCCUAAACUGCUCAUUACCUAUGCUAGCACUCGACAAUCAGGGAUUCCAGCUCGUUUUACAGGCAGUGGAUCAAACUCUGACUUCACUCUGACCAUCAGUGGAGUCCAGGCUGAAGAUGCAGCAGUUUAUUACUGUCAGAGUUUUCACUCUACUAGUCAGUAUGUGUUCACACAGUGA